rnacentral:rRNA from 1 species
GACGAACGCUGGCGGCGUGCUUAACACAUGCAAGUCGAACGCUGAAGCUCAGCUUUUGUUGGGAGGAUGAGUGGCGAACGGGUGAGUAACACGUGAGUAACCUGCCUCCUUCUUUGGGAUAACGCCCGGAAACGGGUGCUAAUACUGGAUAUUCACUGGUCUUCGCAUGGGGGUUGGUGGAAAGGGUUUUUCUGGUGGGGGAUGGGCUCGCGGCCUAUCAGCUUGUUGGUGGGGUGAUGGCCUACCAAGGCUUUGACGGGUAGCCGGCCUGAGAGGGUGACCGGUCACAUUGGGACUGAGAUACGGCCCAGACUCCUACGGGAGGCAGCAGUGGGGAAUAUUGCACAAUGGGCGCAAGCCUGAUGCAGCGACGCCGCGUGAGGGAUGGAGGCCGUCGGGUUGUGAACCUCUUUCGCUCAUGGUCAAGCCGCAACAAUGGUUGUGGUGAGGGUAGUGGGUAAAGAAGCGCCGGCUAACUACGUG